rnacentral:rRNA from 1 species
GAUGAACGCUGACAGAAUGCUUAACACAUGCAAGUCGAUGGGGAAGUGGUGCUUGCACCAUGGCAACCAUGGCGGACGGGUGAGUAACGCGUAAGGGACUUACCUGCAGGACUGGGAUAACAGGGGGAAACUCCUGACAAGACCGGAUAAUGUCAUGGAGCUGCAUGGCUUUAUGAUGAAAGGAGACGCCUGCGGAGAGCCUUGCGUCCUAUUAGCUAGUUGGUGAGGUAAUGGCUCACCAAGGCGAAGAUAGGUAGCCGGCCUGAGAGGGUGGACGGCCACAAGGGGACUGAGAUACGGCCCUUACUCCUACGGGAGGCAGCAGUGGGGAAUAUUGGACAAUGGGGGCAACCCUGAUCCAGCAAUUCUGUGUGCACGAAGAAGGUUUUCGGAUUGUAAAGUGCUUUCAGAAGGGAAGAAGUAAGUGACGGUACCUGCAGAAGAAGCGACGGCUAAAUACGUG